GAAUCCUUAUAAUCAGCCCAAAAGUUCCUUUCUGUUUCUGUCUGUCCCCUUUGAGGGUGUUGACUCAGAGAACCUGGGGCAAUAUGAGAUGUUAAAAUAAAAAUAGCGUCCAACGUCCCGCCUCCUGGGAAUGCUGCUCACUUCAUCCGAGGGCUCUGGGAGCUUCUGCUCAGUCAUCAAAUGGAAUUUGCACAAUUGUCCUGCCUCCUGUUUUGGGUAAUUUUUAAACAAGUGAGAAAUUAAGAACAGCUUCUCAACAAACUUCCCUCUACUUCCAGGGCCAAGAAAAGUAUUUGCAGAGUGGGCUGCAGCUUUCAGGGGUCUCAGGUGAAAUGGUGGCAAGAAACCCCAGCUCCCUUCAUGUGUUUGCUUUGUGCUGAUGGAAAAGGAAGGCACUUCUCAGCUGCCAGAGACCACAUUCCACAGGGUUCUUCACAAAAUCAAGCACUGCAGUGGACCGACUGGAGUAGCCGCUGGAGGGCUUUAGAAGGCAAAUGGAAUACAUAUCAAAUGCUAUGUAAAGAAACCAUCUGUUUACACAUAGAGUCCCCCACACCUCAUACCCACACCCAAUAUCAAAUGCUGUAUAAAGAAACAUCAGUUUACACACAGAGCCCCCCACAACCUCAUACCCCCACCCAAUAUCAAAUGCUAUAUAAAGAAACAUCAGUUUACACACAGAGUCCCCCACAGCCUCAUACCCAUGCCUGUCACAUCUUUGCACGGCCCUAAAGGAUCCAGAGCUUUGGAUCAGCAGCUGGCUAGCUCGGAGGUCAGAGGAGGGUGCUGAGGGGAGUGGAGGUCAGUUGGGGUAGCCCUGGGCCCUGGCUGCACAGUCCAGCUGCCGUGUGGCCUGCAUGUGGUAUCUUAGGUCAUGAGAGGGCCUGGGCAAUUCAGUGCUAUCUGUACAUGUUGGUGGGGUGGGAAGGAAAAGGUAACUGUGUAUUUACUGUGUCCUGGAUACAUUAUCUCAUCGGAUGUAAUUCCUGCUAAGUUGAGCUCCAUUUAGUGGAUGGGACUUGGAGGCUCAAAGAGGGUAAGUGACAGGCCCAAGGAUAUAUGCCUAGGGAGGGGUGAGCCAGGAUUCGAUGUGUGACUAGUAAGGGGUGUGACUAGUAAGGGGUCAGCCAGGAUUUGGUAUGUGACUAGUAAGGGGACGAGCCAGGAUUCGAUAUGUGACUAGUAAGGGGGUGAGCCAGGAUUCGAUAUGUGACUAGUAAGGGGUCAGCCAAGAUUUGAUAUGUGACUAGUGAGGGAUGAGACAGGAUUUGAUAUGUGACCAGUGAGGGGCGAGCCAGGAUUUGAUAUGUGACCAGUGAGGGGCGAGCCAGGAUUUGAUAUGUGACCAGUGAGGGGCGAGCCAGGAUUUGAUAUGUGACCAGUGAGGGGUGAGACAGGAUUUGAUAUGUGACCAGUGAGGGGCGAGCCAGGAUUUGAUAUGUGGCUAGUGAGGGGCGAGCCAGUCAGGAUUUGAUAUGUGGCUAGUGAGGGGUGAGACAGGAUUUGAUAUGUGGCUAGUGAGGGGUGAGCCAGUCAGGAUUUGAUAUGUGGCUAGUGAGGGGCGAGCCAGGAUUCAAUACGUGACCAGUGAGGGGCGAGCCAGGAUUCGAUAUGCGACUAGUAAGGGGGCGAGCCAGGAUUUGAUAUGUGACCAGUGAGGGGCGAGCCAGGAUUUGAUAUGUGACCAGUGAGGGGCGAGCCAGGAUUUGAUAUGUGACCAGUGAGGGGCGAGCCAGGAUUUGAUAUGUGACCAGUGAGGGGUGAGCCAGGAUUUGAUAUGUGACCAGUGAGGGGCGAGCCAGGAUUUGAUAUGUGGCUAGUGAGGGGUGAGCCAGUCAGGAUUUGAUAUGUGGCUAGUGAGGGGUGAGACAGGAUUUGAUAUGUGGCUAGUGAGGGGUGAGCCAGUCAGGAUUUGAUAUGUGGCUAGUGAGGGGUGAGGAAAUCAGUAAAAGUAUUGAAAACUAUUCCAGCAAAUAGGAAGCAUUUUAAACCAAGGUUAUGGAUGAAAAUGUGUGUGUAUCAACCCCAGUUUACUUCUGGGUUGCACAGAAUAGAGAAAUCUUUAUUUAAUCCAGCUAAGAAUUUGCAAAUAGUAUCCAUUUUGUUUUGUUUUAAACAGCUCUUCUUGUGGUGGUAGAGGCUCUUCAAUUAAACAGAGGUGGUAACAGGCUCUUUGUCUCCUGAAGUCUUCAUGGCCGUGAACAGCCCUUGGAGAAAGAGGUUAACAGAAGCAAGGGCCUCCGACAUCUUACAUUUGCCCCCAGAAGACAUUUGAGGAUGCACGUUGCGUUAUUACCAUUUUUAAUGUUUAGUUUUUAGAACUAAAACUAAAUGCAUUUUAAAAGUGAAGUUAGAAUCAAACCCUUGUAGAGGUUCUCACUCCACCAAAACAUCACUGAAGAUUUCCAGGUUUCCCCAGGUAUCUGUUUGGAAGCUGCUGCCCUCAUUGACACACGUUGCUCAUUGUUUUUCUGACCUUAGAGGGGAGGGCAGGCUUGGCACUGUCACCUAGUACAGGAAAGGGCACAGUUUGACUUGAGGUAGCCACCCAUUCAACAAUAGCACCUAAACUCUCUCCCAAAUUCUGUGCAAAUACAGGUUGAGCAUCCCUAACCUGAGAUGCUUGGGCCCAGGAGUGUUUUGGAGUUCAGCUUUUUUUUGAUUUUGGAAUAUGUGUGUUAUGUACAUGCCACUUGAGCAUCCCUAAUCGGAAAAUCCCAAAUCCAAAUCGCUUCAGUGAGCACUUCCUUUGGGUGUAAUGUCAGCACUCAAAAUGUUUUGGAUUUUGGAGCAUUUUGUAUUUCGGAUGCUCGACCCAUAAAGCUGUGGGGCACAGUUGAGAUGAGGCCUUGUGGCCUUUGGAAAGAACAUCUGAGAACCUUCUGAGUAACCCCUGGUGCAAGGGAGACAGUACUAAGAACAAAGCAGUGUCACUGGGAUGGAGAAGGGGCUUGGUCAGAGGGAGGUGGGCAAUCAGAAGAACCUGAUCCUUCCAAAAGCCCCAAAUCUCGUGCUUGAGACCUCGCAUGACUGUGUAGGCAAUGCUUCCCGACCUUUUCAGGACUUGAAACAGAAGUGACGACAUGAGUAACUCCUCUUCCCUCAACAGAAGAGGCUGCUGAGGCCGGAAGUGAUGGGCCUGGGAACACCUCCCUCCCUCCACAGCCCCAAGGCUAAAGGGAUCAGUAUCUGGCCAUUUGCUGGAUACCUUUGCGGUGGCCCCAGCAUUCCAGUUGGGAAACUCAGAAUUGGGGCAUGAAGGUUGGAAUUAGAGCAUCGGGGUUGGGUGGUGUGUUUGUUUCCGUGUUGGGAACUUUGUCAAAGUCCCUCCGUUUGUAGAUGGGAUGCUGAGAUCUCAAGAGGUUUAAUCACUGGCUUACUCCCCGCCAUAGAAGAGGAGUGGCAAAAGCUAAGCCACUUGUGUACAUGCCGCUCUCAAUAUCCCGCUCUCAACUCACCACUCACCGAUGCCGAUGCCCUUCUAGCCCGGCUCACAUCUGUCCUGACAUUUCCUUCUCUCGAAGGUCACUGAUGUUCUUCAUCUGGCUCACAUCUGUCCUGACCCUUCUCUCGAAGGUCACCGAUGCCCUUCUAGCCUGGCUCACAUCUGUCCUGCCCAACUUCAGGAUAAUGUAACUGUUCUGAGCACGUUUAAGGUAGGCUAGGCUAAGCUAUGACAUUGGGG
rnacentral:lncRNA from 1 species